rnacentral:rRNA from 1 species
AACGCGAAGAACCUUACCUGGGCUCGAAGCGCAGUGGACCGGGGUAGAAAUAUCCCUUCCCCUUAAAAGGCUGCUGCGGAGGUGCUGCAUGGCUGUCGUCAGCUCGUGUCGUGAGAUGUUGGGUUAAGUCCCGCAACGAGCGCAACCCUUAUCCCUAGUUGCCAUCGGGUCAAGCCGGGCACUCUAGUGAAACUGCCUGGGAUAACCAGGAGGAAGGUGGGGAUGACGUCAAGUCCUCAUGGCCUUUAUGUCCAGGGCUACACACGUGCUACAAUGGUCGGUACAAACCGUCGCAAACCCGUGAGGGGGAGCUAAUCGGAAAAAGCCGGCCUCAGUUCGGAUUGGAGUCUGCAACUCGACUCCAUGAAGCUGGAAUCGCUAGUAAUCGCGGAUCAGAACGCCGCGGUGAAUACGUUCCCGGGCCUUGUA